CUUUCUUGGUGAAGGAAAAAAGAUGUGGGAAUUUGUGGUGCAAACAUGAGUCCCCCCAAAGAUCAGUCCAAAAAAACACAGUCUUGCCAUUCCCCACCUUACAUCUUGCCAUAGAUUUAUAGGUAUCAAUGAGUUUAAGAUGGGUUUUCCACCAGAAGGAUCCUUCAACUUUAAUUCCAGGGAGUUUGUCUUCAGUAUAGUAGGUAUCUCUUACAAGGUGUACCCAAGGAAUAUCAGAGUUAUUGUAGAAUUUGUCCAGAUUCUUGAGAAGAAGAGCUUUAUUUUGAAUAUCAAGAUUAAGAACUCCCAAACCACCUUGUUCCUUAGGUCUGCAAAUUUUCUUCCAGGAGACUAGUGCAUUUCCUUUUGCUUGCACAUCUGCAGUCUUUUUCCUCCAUAGGCAAUGCCUCAUAUAUUUAAUCACUUGAUCUUUGAUUGUGACAGGGACAUCCAGACAACACAUGAAAAAGAUGGGUAAUGAUGCAAGAACAGACUUGACCAUUUGUAAUUUUCCUCCAUAAUUCAGGAAAUCUGCAAUCCCACCAAGUCUAGUCUGCACUCUUUGUACAAUUGGCAGGAAAUGCUCCAGGGAUGGUUUUGUAAUACUCAGUGGUAGACCCAAAUAAGUGAAAGGUAGGGAUCCCACUUUACAAUUUAGAGUGGCAGCAAAAUGGGCCAGUCUGUCAGGGGACAUGUUGAUUGGCAUCAUACUAGAUUUCUGAUAAUUUACUUUGAGUCCAGUUGAUAUUGCAAAGGAUUGCAAGAUUGAUUUCAAGCAAAGCAAUUGUGUAGCAUCUGCCUUCAUGACAAGAAGUGUAUCAUCAGCAUACUGAAUUACAGGGAAAUCUUGGCAUGGUGUGCAGGGAAUUGGUCUAGAAAGGAGAUUGAGGGACAUAGCUUUGUUUAGCACAGACUGUAGGAAAUCAGCUGCAAGGACAAAAAGCAAAGGUGAUAGAGGAUCUCCCUGCCUCACACCCCUUCUGCAGUAAAAUUUCUUUCCAGGAACACCAUUUAGCAUGACAGCAGAUGUCCCAGAACUCAGAAUCAUAGCAAUCCAGCUGAUCCACUUAUCUCCAAAACCUUUAGCCUUAAGGAUUUUUAAGAUUGUUGAAUGCUCAAUUUUGUCAAAGGCUUUUUCAAAAUCUAGCUUUAGAAUAAGAAUCUCCUCUUUUGAAUUGUGACAUUGGAAGAGAUAUUCAAAUGCCCACCCUAGGCAAUCCUGGAUGGAUCUUUUCUUCAGGAAGCCAUAUUGAUUUUUAUGUACCAAAGUGAGAAUGAUACUUUGUAAUCUAUUGGCCAGCAGCUUGGUGAUGAUUUUAAGGACACAAUUAAGCAGAGAGAUAGGCCUAAAGUCCCCAGGUGUACUUGGAUUAUCAACUUUUGGAACCAGAGUAAUAAAGGAAGAAUUAAUACUUUCAAGGUUUAGCUUCCCAGCAUGAAAAUCUCUUAUCAGUUGUUUGACAUCAGGAGCAAUAAUAGACCAACAGAGUUUGACAAAUUCAUUAUUGAAGCCAUCAGGCCCAGGUGAUUUAUCAUUUGGAAGUAGCUUGACCACAUCUUCUAUUUCCUUAUCAGAGAAAGGAGCUUGCAGCAUCAAAUUCAUAUCUUCAGAGAUGUUGGAUUCAAGAAUUGUGUCAAGAUUAUAUUGCAUCUCUGGGUGAUCUGACUGCCCCAUUCUAUCUUUAAAAGCUUUCCAUAAAAUAGCAGCUUUUCCUUCAUGAUCAGAGACUUCAACUUGGUCUGAAUUCUGGAGCAUUGCAAUGUAAUUAUUCCUGUAAUUGAUAGUGGCCUUUGUAUGGAAGAACCUAGUGUUUGCAUCACCCAAUUUGACCCAUUUAAUUUUCCCUCUUUGUUUCCAAUAAGAGUUUUGGUUUUGAAGGAGAGAUAUGAGGUGUGUUUUGAGAGUGUCUCUCAGAUCCCAUUCAGAUAAUGAUAAAGUUCUAAAUUCUUCCAGCUGAUCAAUAAAUGAAAUGACUUCAUUAACUUUCUCAAUAAGAUGUUUUAAGCAGGGUAGAUUUUUUGCCCAAAGCUUGAGACUUCUUCUUAAGUUUUUGAAUUUUGCAUUUAUCAUUUUGGCACUGUCUGUAUGGCCCACAGGAAUGUUCCAGGCAUUUUGGACAAUUUGCUUGAAAUCACUGUGUUGCAUCCAAUGAUUUUCAAUCCUGAAAACUUUUGCCUUGGGAAUCUUUGUAUUGAGAACAACCACACAGGGCACAUGGUCAGAGGUGGGCCUCACAAGGGGAUAGGCAAAAGAGGCUGGGUAAGAAAUAGUCCAUGAGGGUGAGGUAAAAACCCAGUCCAGUUUUUCAAGAAGAGGAUCUUUUUGCAUGUUACUCCAAGUAAAUUUCCUCCCUUUUAAGGGUAACUCAAUAAUACCCAAAUUACUAAUAGCUUCAUUGAACAAAAGCAUAUCAUUUAAGUCCCCACCAGGUUUGUUUCUAUCUGAGGGACUUCUGAUGAAGUUAAAGUCACCCAUAAUGAGCCAAUCAGUAUCUUGGGGCAUGUCAAUGUUGGCAAACCAGUCUAAAAAAAUAGCUUUCUUAUCUGCUUGGCAUGGCCCAUAUAUAUUUGUAAGAAUCCAAGAAUCAUUGGAAAGGUUGCUUUUGAAAUUAACAGAGAUAGAGAACUCAUUGUGAAAAGCUAAGUCCCCACUAAAAAGAGAUCCAUUCCAAAUAAUGAUCAAGCCACCAGAGGCCCCCACUGAAGGAACAAAUUCAAAUUUAUUAAAUUUCUUAGGACAGAAUUUCCUGAUGUAUGCCAAGUCAAAGGACUCUCUUUUAGUUUCUUGGAGACAGAUAAUAUCACAUCCAGACUCCUCAAUUUUGCUAGAGAGGGCCAACCACUUCUUUUCAGAAUUAAUACCUCUCAGGUUCCAGUUCAUAAUUUUCCAAGAUUUGCAAUUAUCCAUAGAUAACAAAAGGAUUUUUGUUUAACCAACCCACAGCAAAACAUACUGUAGGCAUCCAACAGAAAAGGAUUAAAGUCAUUACACCACAGAUAGCAAUGCCACCUAACAUGUUCACAUAUAUUUGGUACAUACUGACAAAAGCAGGGUUCAACAGGUCCAUAAGGUGCAAAGGAAGCAACCAUGCCCCAAAAACAAAAGCAAAACAGGAGCUCAUCAUUGGAGACUACUUGGGGGACUUCUUUUUGGCCAACUGUUCAAUGGCAGCAGGCUUAUUUCUCCCUUUCUUUUCAAUUGGCUUGAUCUUUGAGCUGGAGGAGGUAUUGCUUGACUUCUUCUGGCCAAUUACUCCUGGUGGCACCAUGGUUUUGCUAUCUCCAUCUGAAGCCUUGUUUUUCUUCAGAAUUUUCUUUUCUACAGUUUCUUCAGACACCUUGCAAAAGGAUAUUGCCAAGUUCUUAACCACCUUAGUAUUAAUCAUAGGUGGAGCAGCAUUGCAAGAGAGGCAAUGUUUAUCUGAACAGUUGGCAUGGUUUUUAUAUCCAUCAUUUAGUAACACAAGUCUGGGACUUCUCCUUACCUCAGACUCUACCAGAGCACCCUUGCCUUCCCUUCUUUUCCUUUUAGGGGUAGAUGGCAAAACUUCCUUGGAUGUAGGAGGAGAGAGUCCUUCCUCCUGAACAGACAUGGAGAUGCAAACAGGGGCCUUAGAAGAAGUGCAAGAAUCUGGGAUAACAAAUUUUAUAGAAUCCUCUGUGCUAAUAGGUUCUUUAAGAAUCUCCCAAAGUUGUGAAGAAAGAAAGUGUUUUGUCCAAUCAAAUUUCUCUGGAGUCAAGAGCAUAAGGGUAACAAAAUUAAACCAACUCACAGGAAUAUCCACAAUAGCCUUGUUUGAUUUCCCAUCAGCAUGCAGGUGAGGUGCAAAGAACUGCUCCCAAAGAAGUAACCCUGUUGUUGACAUUUUCCUGGUCAGAUCAUGUUCCUCAGGUAUGGGGAGGAAAUGUGUUUGAACUCUUCCUAGAGUCAACUGCAAAUGGGCUUCAUUAGGAGGGACCAGCUGCACAUUAUCUGGUAGGAAGAGGCUGUCCUCUAAGAGUUGUGCUCCCUGUGAUUCAGAAGUCCCCAAGGAAGUGUCAUUGUUUUCAGGCUGAGCAAAGUUCUCUUCAGUUUCUUCCUCAACAGGGACCUUGAAAAGAAGUACCUUCAGAGCUAGAGGAGGAUAUCUGCACAUAACUUGUUGCAUCAAGAAUAGGAGGCCCAUGGUCUUCAUCACCCAUAUCAACUUCCUCUGGCAGUGCAGGUGGCUGUGGUGGACCAGGUUGCACUAGAGGAACAGGCAGAGCAUGCCCUGGCAUGGGAUGUGGGUCCACCCCUUCAUCAGGCACAGGGUCUUCAUCUGGUGGCCCACCACCAAGGAGGUUUUGUUGCAGCACCUCAACAAGAAAGGUCCAGGAUUGUGCUUCUGGUCUUGAACUUUCAGUCAUUCUGAUACUCCUAGGGAUAUCCUGCAGGUCAGUAACCCUCACCUUCACAAGCACUCUUCCUUUUCUGUUUGGGUCUCUUUCCCACAGCAGCAGAGAGCCAAUAUCAGAGAAACAAGCAUUCAAAUCUUCAGUUUUCAUGUGAUCUAGAGGGGGUCCAACUAGCAGUAACCAGACAUCUCUAUUGAAAGUAACCCCUCUCCAGUUAAUUCCCUCAUCAUGGUUAACAAAAGAAAUAGUAACAUCACCAAACUGAUUUGGGCUAGAAGAGAUCAAUCUAUCCUUGUCACUGACAUUCCUGAACUGGACGUAUGCAGCCCCAAAAGGGCAUGAUUGCAAUGCAACAAAACCAACUCUAGCAACCUCAGUUAAGUAUUCUCCUAGAACAUCCCUGACAUUAUCAAAAGGCACCAAACCUUCUGGGAAAGGAUGGAUGGUGGCGAUGGCGUACUGCUCGUGCUCCUUUGGUCGGCGCGGCACCACCACCCUUUUGACCGCUAGUCUUCCAUCUAUGUGUUGAAUCUGAUAACCUUGAGGAACAAAGGGCCUGGGGUCGAUGGGGAUGUUUGCCAUUGCCGGAGUCCAAGCCUCCGAUGGCUCGGCGGUGGGGAACUGUAGCAGCAGCGGUUGCGGAGUGGACGAGGGUGGUGAAUGCGAGGAGGCAGAGACAGGAGCAGGGGAUAUUUUUUCCCCAGAGAGGAAACCCACGAAAUCGCUAAAAGAGGAAGUCUCC